rnacentral:rRNA from 1 species
UGGGGAAUUUUGCACAAUGGGGGAAACCCUGAUGCAGCGACGCCGCGUGAUUUAGAAGGCCUUCGGGUUGUAAAAAUCUUUUGUAUGGGAAGAAAAUGACAGUACCAUACGAAUAAGGACCGGCUAAUUACGUGCCAGCAGCCGCGGUAAUACGUAAGGUCCGAGCGUUGUCCGGAAUCAUUGGGCGUAAAGGGUACGUAGGCGGAUAAGCAAGUUAGAAGUGAAAUCCUAUAGCUCAACUAUAGUAAGCUUUUAAAACUGCUCAUCUUGAGGUAUGGAAGGGAAAGUGGAAUUCCUAGUGUAGCGGUGAAAUGCGCGGAUAUUAGGAGGAAUACCGGUGGCGAAGGCGACUUUCUGGCCAUAAACUGACGCUGAGGUACGAAAGCGUGGGUAGCAAACAGG